rnacentral:rRNA from 1 species
GGAGUUAGCCGGUGCUUCUUCUGUGAGUGAUGUCCUUCCUGCCGGCUAUUAACCCGCAGGCCUUCUUCCUCACUGAAAGUGCUUUACAACCCGAAGGCCUUCUUCACACACGCGGCAUGGCUGGAUCAGGGUUGCCCCCAUUGUCCAAUAUUCCCCACUGCUGCCUCCCGUAGGAGUCUGGGCCGUGUCUCAGUCCCAGUGUGGCUGAUCAUCCUCUCAGACCAGCUACGGAUCGUCGCCUUGGUGAGCCGUUACCUCACCAACCAGCUAAUCCGACAUAGGCUCAUCCGAUAGCGCGAGGCCCGAAGGUCCCCCGCUUUCCCCCGUAGGGCGUAUGCGGUAUUAGCCUGGGUUUCCCCAGGUUAUCCCCCACUACCGGGCAGAUUCCUAUGCAUUACUCACCCGUCCGCCGCUCGCCACCAGGGAGCAAGCUCCCCGUGCUGCCGCUCGACUUGCAUGUGUUAGGCCUGCCGCCAGCGUUCAAUCUGAGCCAGNNAACAACUNANCAGCGGCGGUGCGACGACGGCGACUAG